CGUGCACCGGUGGGGUCCCUCAGUCUGGCCUGUGCCCUCUCACAAUCUGGAACCCCUUGGGAGAUGUCAGAGAGCCAGUUUCGGCCUGAUCCCGCAGGCCAGGCUGAGGGACCCCACUGGUGCACG
rnacentral:pre_miRNA from 1 species